GUUGGCGUUGCCAUGCCCUCUGCGAUCGCCUAAAAGCAAGACGAAAUCAGACGCCCCUCUGAGCAACUGCGCCGUCUCUCACAACGAGACGCGCGCAUUGUGCCGUUUCUUUUUUUUUUGCAUUUUCUCCAUUUUCAAAGCGGUAUAGACGGGACGCCGCAAGGCAUGGGGAGGGGACUGUCGACCCGAAGGCGCGCAUCGCCCACAAUUGCACACACGCACACAGCGCGAGCGCGGUCUCGAUCAACGGCGGACCAAUGGGAGGUCUCGCAGUUUGGGCGACACCAAGAGGCGGUAGCCCUCGCGCAGGCCGACGGCCGUGUUCCACCGAUCGAGCGCGCCGCGCACCAGAGUCACAGCGUCGGCCGUCGUCGCAUAGACGUGGACCGUGCUGCCGCGCGCCAGGUCGGGCACGGCGGCCUCAAAGGCCUCGCUGCUGGUGCUGCCGCCGGCGCGCGCCGGAUGCCAUUCCGACUCGUAAAAGGGCACGCGCUUGAGCGGGUUAGCCGUGCCCAUGGCAUAGUCGAGCGUGACGACGACCGUCCUCGCGCGCGCGCUCACGCCCACCGACGCGAGCGUCGCCCACACGGUCGGCAGCACGCGCUGCGCGGGCGCCUCGUCGGUGCUGGGCAUGCGUAUCUCGGCGACGGGCACGUAGAGGUCGCGGCGGUCGAUGCGAUCCAAGAGGGCGGCGGCAGAGGCAAAGGCGCGCUCGCCGCCCGCGGCCCGACGGCGCACUUCGCCCAAGAUGUCGUCGGUCGACGCCAGAAAGGCGUCGGGGUCAUCGCGUUCGAUGGCGGCAAAGAGGCCGAGCGCGCCCUCGGCGUCGCGCAGCACGUCGCCGAUCAUGAGUUCGACGGCCUUGCCCACCGGGUGCGAAUACACCUGGCGGUGCAUGUCCAGGCGGCUGCGAAACAUGCGCAGCAGGUUGCUGUACUCGCUCUCGCGAAAGCAGAUCUCGCCGCCCUCGAUGCGGCUGUAGGCGAUGAUGCGGUCGGCGUCGCAUUGCACCUGCAUGCCGGUGGCGUGCGAGUCCCGCAGGAGAUAGUCAAACUUGUCGGCGUCGACGCUGUUGAGCGCAUUGUGCACCACGCGGUAGAGGAAGGCGCGACGCUCUUCGAGCACGUGGCCGCGGAUCAUGGCCUCGACGCGCUCCACCUCGUCGGGCGCGAGCACGCCCGCGCGCUCAUUGAUGCGACGCACGAGCGCGCACGAGAUCUCCUCGUGGUGCCAGCGCGUAUGGCGCGGCCGUUCAUUGACAAUCUGCUCGAAUGCGUGGCUAAACGGACCGUGCCCUAGAUGCGCGCAAGAGCCGCCAUUGUUUUAGACCACACAAGAGGCGAUUGAAAAACAUUCUGCCCCCCCCCUCCUUCCCCCCCCCCCGAGCCGACGGACGGGC
rnacentral:lncRNA from 1 species